rnacentral:rRNA from 1 species
AUUGAACGCUGGCGGCAGGCCUAACACAUGCACGUCGAACGAGUGGCGGACGGGUGAGUAAUGUCUGGGAAACUGCCUGAUGGAGGGGGAUAACUACUGGAAACGGUAGCUAAUACCGCAUACCAUCAGAUGUGCCCAGAUGGGAUUAGCUUGUUGGUGGGGUCACGGCGGACCAAGGCGACGAUCACUAGCUGUUCGGAGAGGAUGACCAGCCACACGGGAACGUAGACACGGUCCAGCCUCCGACGGGAGGCAGCAGUGUGGAAUAUUGCACAAUGGGCGCAAGCCUGAUGCAGCCAUGCCGCGGGUAUGAAGAAGGCCUUCGGGUUUUAAAGUACUUUCAGCGUGGAGGCGUUACCCGCAGAAGAAGCACCGGCUAACUCCGUGCCAGCAGCCGCGGUAAUAC